rnacentral:rRNA from 1 species
AUGGAAGACUACUUCGCGGAGGUACCUACAUACCCUCCUCGUCUCUUCCGCAGAAGGUACCGAAUGCGGCGUAGUUUGUUUGUGAAGAUUGUCACUGAUUGUGAGGCCGCCUCCUAUUACUUUAAACGUCGUAGAUCCGCCCCCGGUAUCAUGGAGUUUAGUGCAUAUCAAAAGAUAUCGGCGGCAAUGCAGGUACUCGCUUAUGGCAUACCCGCGGAUUAUACCGACGAGUAUCUUCGCAUUGGGCAAGAUACAACCACCGAGUCAGUCCAUAGGUUUGCCAAGUUGGUCAUUCGGUUGUACGGUGAGCAGUAUCUUUGGGCACCAAACAAGGAAGAUACAAAGAGAUUAAUGGAAAUGAAUGAAAAAAGGGGAUGGCCGGGGAUGCUAGGUAGUCUUGACUGCAUGCAUUGGAGGUGGAAAAAUUACCCAAAGGCAUGGCACGGAAUGUAUUGCGGUAAAAGCCGUGAUGCUACCAUUGUGCUUGAGGCCGUAGCAUCUCAGGACACAUGGAUUUGGCAUGCAUUCUUUGGGUUGCCGGGAACACUCAAUGAUAUCAAUAUCCUCAAUAGAUCUCCUUUGUUCAAAAGAUUAAUUUCUGGGGAUGCUCCAGCUUCCAACUACAAAAUCAUGGACAAUGAGUACUCAAUGGGAUACUAUCUCACCGAUGGCAUCUAUCCUGAAUGGGCAACUCUUGUGAAGUCCAUCAAGGAGAAAAAUGGGGUGCCCUUAACAAGAAAAGAGGCUCAUUUCACCAAGGCACAAGAGGCAGCCCGCAAGGAUAUUGAGAGAGCUUUCGGUGUUUUGCAAGCAAGAUUUGCCAUAGUUCGUGGUCCAGCUCAGUUUUGGGACAAAAAAACCUUGAUGAACAUCAUGAAAUGUUGUGUGAUUCUACACAACAUGAUCCUAGAGGAUGAAAGAGGGUUAAACCUCCCUUGUUUCUAUGACAAUGUUGGUACCCGUGUGCAACCGGAAAGAAACCCUUCUCGCAUACACGCUUUUCUUCAAGCACAUCGUAAGAUUGAGGAUGCAACCACUCAUGGUCGGCUCCGGGAUGAUCUAAUAGAGCACCACUGGCAGUUGGAUGGGCGGCGCAUUGGCCCAUGA